rnacentral:rRNA from 1 species
GACGAACGCUGGCGGCGUGCUUAACACAUGCAAGUCGAACGGAAAGGCCCCAGCUUGCUGGGGUACUCGAGUGGCGAACGGGUGAGUAACACGUGGGUGAUCUGCCCUUCACUCUGGGAUAAGCCUGGGAAACUGGGUCUAAUACCGGAUAGGACCGUGCUUUAGUGUGUGCGGUGGAAAGUUUUUCGGUUCAGGAUGAGCCCGCGGCCUAUCAGCUUGUUGGUGGGGUAAUGGCCUACCAAGGCGGCGACGGGUAGCCGGCCUGAGAGGGUGUACGGCCACAUUGGGACUGAGACACGGCCCAGACUCCUACGGGAGGCAGCAGUGGGGAAUAUUGCACAAUGGGCGCAAGCCUGAUGCAGCGACGCCGCGUGGGGGAUGACGGCCUUCGGGUUGUAAACCCCUUUCGGCAGGGACGAAGCUUUUGUGACGGUACCUGCAUAAGAAGCACCGGCUAACUACGUG